UACGGAGGGGGGCUAGCGUUGUCCGGAAUUACUGGGCGUAAAGAGCUCGUAGGUGGUUUGUCGCGUUGUUCGUGAAAACUCACAGCUUAACUGUGGGCGUGCGGGCGAUACGGGCAGACUUGAGUACUGCAGGGGAGACUGGAAUUCCUGGUGUAGCGGUGGAAUGCGCAGAUAUCAGGAGGAACACCGGUGGCGAAGGCGGGGUCUCUGGGCAGUAAACUGACGGCUG
rnacentral:rRNA from 1 species